UACGUAGGGGGCGAGCGUUAUCCGGAAUUACUGGGCGGAAAGCGCACGCAGGCGGUUCGCCAAGUUUGGAGUGACAGUUGUCGGCUCAACCGACAAAGGACUUCAAAAACUGGUGAACUUGAGGACGAGAGAGGAACAUGGAACUCCAGGUGUAGUAGUGAAAUGCGUAGAUAUCUGGAAGAACACCAAUGGCGAAGGCAAUGUUCUGGCUCGUUUCUGACGCUCAGGUGCGAAAGCCAGGGGAGCGAACGGG
rnacentral:rRNA from 1 species